GCAUUGGUGGUUCAGUGGUAGAAUUCUCGCCACCUAUGCAGGAGACCUGGGUUUGAUUCCCGGCCACUGCA
rnacentral:tRNA from 1 species